rnacentral:rRNA from 1 species
GAGUGAGGGCCCUCUGGGUCCAACCUCCCACCCGUGUCUAUCGUACCUUGUUGCUUCGGCGGGCCCGCCGUUUCGACGGCCGCCGGGGAGGCCUCGCGCCCCCGGGCCCGCGCCCGCCGAAGACCCCAACAUGAACGCUGUUCUGAAAGUAUGCAGUCUGAGUUGAUUAUCAUAAUCAGUUAAAACUUUCAACAACGGAUCUCUUGGUUCCGGCAUCGAUGAAGAACGCAGCGAAAUGCGAUAAGUAAUGUGAAUUGCAGAAUUCAGUGAAUCAUCGAGUCUUUGAACGCACAUUGCGCCCCCUGGUAUUCCGGGGGGCAUGCCUGUCCGAGCGUCAUUGCUGCCCUCAAGCACGGCUUGUGUGUUGGGCCCCCGUCCCCUCUCCCGGGGACGGGCCCGAAAGGCAGCGGCGGCACCGCGUCCGGUCCUCGAGCGUAUGGGGCUUUGUCACCCGCUCUGUAGGCCCGGCCGGCGCCAGCCGACACCCAACUUUUUUUCUAAGGUUGACCUCGGAUCAGGUAGGGAUACCCGCUGAACUUAAGCAUAUCAA